AGAGUUUGAUCCUGGCUCAGAACGAACGCUGGCGGCGCGUCUUAACCAUGCAAGUCGAGCGGCAGGCAGCAAUGCCGAGAGCGGCGGACUGGUGAGUAACACGUGGAUAACGUACCCCGCUGACCGGGACAGCCUGUAGAAAUAGAGGGUGAUACCGGAUAGAUCACUGUUUACGGAAGGUAGACAGCGGGAAAGGAGCUUCGGCUCCGCAACGGGAUCGGUCUGCGGCCCAUCAGCUGGACGGCGGGGUAACGGCCCGCCGUGGCGAGGACGGGUAUCCGGCCUGAGAGGGCGGACGGACACAUUGGGACUGAGAUACGGCCCAGACUCCUACGGGAGGCAGCAGGUAAGAAUAUUCCGCAAUGGGGGAAACCCUGACGGAGCGACGCCGCGUGAACGAAGAAGGCCGGAAGGUUGUAAAGUUCUUUUCUGUCCGAGGAAUAAGUGUUGGAGGAAAUGCCGACAUGGUGACGGUAGGGCAGGAAUAAGCACCGGCUAAUUACGUGCCAGCAGCCGCGGUAACACGUAAGGUGCGAGCGUUGUUCGGAAUUAUUGGGCGUAAAGGGCAUGCAGGCGGGUCGCCAAGCUUGGUAAGAAAUACCGGGGCUCAACUCCGGAGCUAUAUUGAGAACUGGCGAGCUAGAGUUGCCGAAGGGUAUCCGGAAUUCCGUGUGAAGGGGUGAAAUCUGUAGAUAUGCGGAAGAACACCGAUGGCGAAGGCAGGAUACCGGCGGACGACUGACGCUGAGGUGCGAAGGUGCGGGGAGCAAACAGGAUUAGAUACCCUGGUAGUCCGCACAGUCAACGAUGUACACUGGGCGUGUGCGCAAGAGCGUGCGUGCCGAAGCAAACGCGAUAAGUGUACCGCCUGGGGAGUAUGCCCGCAAGGGUGAAAC
rnacentral:rRNA from 1 species